rnacentral:lncRNA from 1 species
GCUUGCGGGCUAAGGCGGGGAGCCGCUCCUGCGGUGGACGGGCGCGCGGACUGGAGGGAGGGAAGUGCCACGAACCGGGGAACCGGGGGGACGCGGAGACGGGGUCUGGUGGGGUGAGGGCGGCGGGCAGUAGCCAAGUGGUGUGCAGCUUCGAACCCCUGCAGCCUCCGGGCGAACGGAAUGGCACCCGCGGAGACGGGCGGGGACGGGCGAAAGCGGGUUUGCUCGGACCCGAAGCCAAGCCCGGUUUGGAGGGUGAUACCGUAGGCGAGAAUGGCCGCGCGGGCUGGGAGCCCCGCCCCGGGAUGGGGUGAAUGGAGCCGCCCGAGGUAGGGGAGUUGGGGGUGGUGGUUGUGAAGACAGUCGGAGUCGGACUCCGGGCAGACGAAACACCGGGGCGCGCCAGGGUCCAUUUCCUCCUUUUCUCCGUUUUCCCACCGGCCCUGUAGAUGCGGAGCCAGCAGUCGGGCUGGAGCGGAGGCUGAGGGUCGCCGUUCCGCUGGAGGUCUCUCGCCCCGGGUUAGGCCCCACCCCGCGGUGGCGGUCGCGUGGCGCUGUCCUGGAGUUAAGCUGUGCCGGCGCCGCGGCCCGCACGCCCAGGACCGCACACCGCCGCCCGCAGGCAGGGACGCCUACAACCUCGCUUCUCACCAGGCGCCCAGCUCGGGGCUGGGAACGGGAAGGGUGCAUUUCCGUGUGGGGUGGGGGCGAUUCCCGGCUGUCGGCGGUGGGGCUAGGCCUUGCGGCGGAAGAGCCAGGCCUUCGCAGCUUUCUAGCCAGCCGGGUUCGGGAUUUCUCGACGGUCGGACCGGUGGAGGCGAGGGUGGGCGGCUAUCCCCCAGCCUCUUCAGCAAGAAGCCGUGGGGCCACGGAAGGAUCCUGUGGAGUCAUCCAGGAAGCACAGCGAGGGGCAGUCGGUUGGAGGACCUAACAGUGCCUUCUGCCCCUGGCACAUUCGCCACAGAAGAAGACUACUCUGGGACUCAGCAGUAUGGGAUGGUGCUGUGGCAGCAGUCUCCUUGGAGCUCACUGGAUCCUUAG